rnacentral:rRNA from 1 species
UACGUAGGGUGCAAGCGUUGUUCGGAAUUACUGGGCGUAAAGGGCGCGUAGGCGGGCCCGUAUGUCGAUUGUGAAAUCCCUGGGCUCAACCCGGGAAUGGCAGUCGAAACUGCGGGUCUUGAAUGCUUGAGAGGAUGGCGGAAUUCCCGGUGUAGAAGUGAAAUUCGUAGAUAUCGGGAAGAACACCUGAGGCGAAGGCGGCUAUCUGGCGAUGCAUUGACGCUGAGGCGCGAAAGCGUGGGGAGCAAACAGG